rnacentral:lncRNA from 1 species
GAUUGAUAUAAAUGUUGUAUUUACAAAAAAUGUGAAUAAAUUUAAGAAGAAAAGUUUUACGAAAACUUAUACUUCCUUUUAUGACAGAUAGGCGUAAUAAAAUGUAUUCUGUGAACGCAGAUAUACAGACCGGAACUUAUAUAAUACGUAACCACUUUACAAAAGUAAAACAUAAAAGUCUUAUACUAGAAUUUUAAUCAAC